rnacentral:rRNA from 1 species
CCUACGGGUGGCAGCAGUGAGGAAUAUUGGUCAAUGGGCGCGAGCCUGAACCAGCCAAGUCGCGUGAGGGAUGAAGGUUCUAUGGAUCGUAAACCUCUUUUAUAAGGGAAUAAAGUGUGGGACGUGUCCUAUUUUGUCUGUACCUUAUGAAUAAGGAUAGGCUAACUCCGUGCCAGCAGCCGCGGUAAUACGGAGGAUCCGAGCGUUAUCCGGAAUUAUUGGGUUUAAAGGGUGAGUAGGCGGCCUUUUAAGUCAGCGGUGAAAGCUUGUGGCUCAACCAUAGAAUUGCCGUUGAAACUGGGGGGCUUGAGUAUGUGUGAGGCAGGCGGAAGGCGUGGUGUAGCGGUGAAAUGCUUAGAUAUCACGCAGAACCCUGAUUGCGAAGGCAGCCUGCCAAGCCAUGACUGACGCUGAUGCACGAAAGCGUGGGGAUCAAACAGGAUUAGAUACCCUUGUAGUC